GUUUUUUUACCACGUGACCUCCUGUAUCCAUACCUGAGCCUACCUGUGUGAAGUCCGGAUUUGUAAACAUGGAAACCAUCAAAGCGCUGUGGCGAGACUUUCCGACGAAACGAGUUACAGUUUUAGGUGUGCUUAUUGCGAUAGGAGGCAUAGGGGGAAGCACCAGACAUCCAUUUUUCCCGUUCCUCACGCACGACUUCUUCCCUUAUCUAAACAGUAACCAGAUAGGGUAUUAUACCGGGUUCCUGACAAGUGCGACUUUUACUGGUAAUUUUAUCGGGUGCCUUGUG